rnacentral:rRNA from 1 species
AUACGGAGGAUCCGAGCGUUAUCCGGAUUUAUUGGGUUUAAAGGGAGCGUAGGUGGAUUGUUAAGUCAGUUGUGAAAGUUUGCGGCUCAACCGUAAAAUUGCAGUUGAAACUGGCAGUCUUGAGUACAGUAGAGGUGGGCGGAAUUCGUGGGGUAGCGGUGAAAUGCUUAGAUAUCACGAAGAACUCCGAUUGCGAAGGCAGCUCACUAGACUGUUACUGACACUGAUGCUCGAAAGUGUGGGUAUCAAACAGGAUUAGAUACCCUGGUAGUCCACACAGUAAACGAUGAAUACUCGCUGUUUGCGAUAUACAGCAAGCGGCCAAGCGAAAGCAUUAAGUAUUCCACCUGGGGAGUACGCCGGCAACGGUGAAACUCAAAUGAAUUGACGGGG